GGGUGCGAUCAUACCAGCACUAAUGCACCGGAUCCCAUCAGAACUCCGCAAUUAAGUGUGUUUGAGCGAGAGUAGUACUAGGAUGGAUGACCUCCUGGGAAGUCCUCGUAUUGCACCCC
rnacentral:rRNA from 1 species